rnacentral:sRNA from 2 species
UGUUUUUGAUCGCUGAGUUUUCGGUGCUAACCGAAAAACGGGGGAACCAAAUUGCGAUUUCACAAAACGGUGUGAGAGCCGGAAUGUGAAUCGUUGGGGUGAAUCUGCAUACUGACUAACCAUGGUACAGUCAGACAAUGCAGUAGGGCGACUCUCACCGCCCGAAUCCGACAGCUAACCUCGUAAGCGUGGAUAGGAGAGAAG